GACGAACGCUGGCGGCGUGCUUAACACAUGCAAGUCGAACGGAAAGGCCCUUCUUUUGUGGGGUGCUCGAGUGGCGAACGGGUGAGUAACACGUUAUUAACCUGCCCUUGACUUUGGUAUAACUUCAGGAAACUGGGGCUAAUACCGGAUAGGAGCUCCUGCUGCAUGGUGUGGGUUGGAAAGUUUCGGCGGUUGGGGAUGGACUCGCGGCUUAUCAGCUUGUUGGUGGGGUAGUGGCUUACCAAGGCUUUGACGGGUAGCCGGCCUGAGAGGGUGACCGGCCACAUUGGGACUGAGAGACGGCCCAGACUCCUACGGGAGGCAGCAGUGGGGAAUAUUGCACAAUGGGCGGAAGCCUGAUGCAGCAACGCCGCGUGCGGGAUGACGGCCUUCGGGUUGUAAACCGCUUUCGCCUGUGACGAAGCGUGAGUGACGGUAAUGGGUAAAGAAGCACCGGCUAACUACGUG
rnacentral:rRNA from 1 species